UAUAGCUUAAUAGCACAGUGCCUGCCUGGCAAGCAUGAGGUCUUGGGUUCAACCCCCAAUA
rnacentral:tRNA from 1 species